rnacentral:rRNA from 1 species
UACGUAGGGUGCGAGCGUUAAUCGGAAUACUGGGCGUAAAGCGUGCGCAGGCGGUUUUGUAAGCCAGAUGUGAAAGCCCCGGGCUUAACCUGGGAAUGGCAUUUGGGACUGCAAGGCUUGAGUGCGGCAGAGGAGACUGGAAUUCCUGGUGUAGCAGUGAAAUGCGUAGAUAUCAGGAGGAAUACCGAUGGCGAAGGCAGGUCUCUGGGCUGACACUGACGCUCAUGCACGAAAGCGUGGGAGCGAA